GUAGCGUUGUUAUAAAGUCCUCUACCAAUUCUAUACAUAUAGAGUCCCUUUUAGGGCCACUAGAGCUUAAGUUACAUAUACCUUUAAAUGAUCCACUUUGUUCAAAUGGGGAUGAUUGGCCCCUUUUAGGGACUACCAGAGCUAAAAAUUACAAAAGCCUUUAAAUGACUCCUUCUGAUGAUCCACUUGAUUGAUCUUCAUCAAACUUGAUUUUUAGCAUCAUUAUGAAAGUCAUUCACCAAUAGUGUUUAGUUGUGGGCACACUUGAACCUUUUACACGGGUGAGUGCUUUAGAGUCGAUGACUGUGUUGUUAGACAAUUUCUCAAAACCGUUAACAUGUAUUGCUUUGAAACCUUGUAGGAUAGUUCAAAAACUCAUUUUACACCCAAUGUUGAGUACUCGCCAGCUAGUGAACUUAACCUUGAAUAAUAAAUGAUCCCUGUUUUUCUUGAGGUCAGCAGUGAAUUUCUUACUUAAAAUGUUUUCCUUUUCAUUUAUAAGUAGGGAAGGCUUGGACCUACUGUGAUCAAACUAUAUAGGGUAAUUGUCUGCAUCCUGAAGAUGAUCUCUAAUAUUUUGGGUGCUAUGUAGGUCAAAGGUCAAGGUUACAUUGAUCUUUAAACUGAAUCAGUAAAUGGAUAAGACUUAGGACUGUAGAGGUCAAAUAUUUAAGGAUAUUUGCCUGUAUUCAGUAGAUGACUCCUUGAGAUCAGGGUGGAUUUGAGACUGAAAACAGUUUUUCUGAGAGCUUUGUCUUAUAGAGUGAAACAUCAAAGAAUGAUUGCCUGUGGUCAGUAGUUGCCAUUUAGGUCAAAGAUCAAGAAAUUUUCACUUUAAGGGUGAAAAUAAUUCCAAGUUAAUAAGUGUAGAUGGCUAAUGGUUGUCAAAAUAACACACCUGUGACAGGCCAUCAUGGGAGCAUUUUUACAAACACCUCUUGUAUUUAUUAAAAUUAUUUUUUUGUUUAUUGCCAUAAUUUAUUAUCUUCAGUCUCCUUCACAGGAAGUGGCUAUGUAAAGGACAUUGAUAUAAAGACAUUGCUGGAUGUAUUUACUGGUGGCAGCUUCAGAUCAACAGAAGUGUUUGGGGUAGCAGUAUUUACCACUAUUGACCUGGAAACCACUGACCUAAAUUUGUUGAUGAGAUCUAUAAGAAAGGAUACCACUGUCAGUAUGGAGGGAAAUGGACUUGAUGCUUAGAAGGAAGCGGAGAUGUCAGAUUCCUCUUCAUCUCCAAGUCACCAUGACAACAAACAGCAACAUGAAAGGGGUGACAGUAUGGUUGAAAGUGACUUAAAAAACCAUAUUGCAAAUCAAGGAGUCAUCUUUGUUUUUUUUCUCUUGACACCAGAUGUGAAGGCAGCCAGGUUAAAAACGAGACACAAUUACUACAGAAUUACAGAUAUGGAAUCUGAAAGAUUGUGUGAGUGAUGUUAUUGUAUCUCAGGACAUGCAUCGUGCCACACAGGAGAGGUUCAUACUGAUAGAAGACAAAGAAAGGAGGCCAAAGACUGAAAUGCCAAGAUGAUUGCAUUGGUACCUAAGUUGUUUGAGAGGGACUCGAUUGCAGUGGACUGGAUAUAUAAUCAUAUUAAACUCAUUCGAGGAAGUGGUUAGAGAUAACUUAGCAAAGCCAGAAAGUCGGGUCAAGUUUGAGCUACUGGACAA